CACGGGGGGAGCAAGCGUUGUUCGGAAUCACUGGGCGUAAAGGGCGUCUAGGCGGUCAGGUAAGUGGGAUGUGAAAUCCCUCGGCUCACCCGAGGACCGGCAUCUCAUACUGCUUGGCUUGAGUACGGGAGAGGAUGUGGGAAUUCCUGGUGUAGCGGUGAAAUGCGUAGAUAUCAGGAGGAACACCGGUGGCGAAGGCGCACAUCUGGCCCGAUACUGGCGCUAAAGCGCGAAAGCUAGGGGAGCAAACGGG
rnacentral:rRNA from 1 species